rnacentral:tRNA from 9 species
GUCUAUGUAGUAUAUUAAUUACACUGGUCUUGUAAACCAGAAAAGGGGAAUAAAUUUCCCCCAAAGACU